rfam:Nitrospirillum amazonense Y2 contig00537, whole genome shotgun sequence.
GGGCGCGUAGCUCAGCGGGAGAGCAUCGCCUUCACACGGCGGGGGUCGUAGGUUCAAUCCCUACCGCGCCCA